UAUGUUCCAAGCCUUGGAAGUGUUAAUGCUCUACCAGAACAGCUGUGGUACGGCACGCAAGCUGGAGACAAGAUUUUGUUGCAGAGAAGAAAAUGAUGCCAAAUUUGAACAGUAUAAGAAGCACCAUCGAAGCCAAAUGGGCAGAAGGUCUUCCACACUUAAUCCAGAUAAGGAGGAUAACCCAGCUGGAUUUUAUAUGCCUAAACAGUCCUGUGUGUAUGGAGUGCUGAAUGUAGAUACAUGGAGAGGAAGAAAUUAUACCUCUGUAAAGUUACUUCGUACCCAUCUUCUACUGAGACUAUUCCCUGAGGUAACAGCAAAUACAAAUACCAGGCUUUCAUGUGAUCAUAGUGCUUUAUUAUUUCCUCACAGUUGAAGCACAAUGGUUAAAGAAGAACAGUGACACAGAUUUGAUGGUGCACUUCCUUCCAUGUACCUCAUAACAUAAAGGUUCGCAAAGAGCAGAACUUCAUUUUUCCAAAG